rnacentral:rRNA from 1 species
GACGAACGCUGGCGGCGUGCCUAAUACAUGCAAGUUGAGCGCUGAAGGUUGGUACUUGUACCAACUGGAUGAGCAGCGAACGGGUGAGUAACGCGUGGGGAAUCUGCCUUUGAGCGGGGGACAACAUUUGGAAACGAAUGCUAAUACCGCAUAAAAACUUUAACACAAGUUUUAAGUUUGAAAGAUGCAAUUGCAUCACUCAAAGAUGAUCCCGCGUUGUAUUAGCUAGUUGGUGAGGUAAAGGCUCACCAAGGCGAUGAUACAUAGCCGACCUGAGAGGGUGAUCGGCCACAUUGGGACUGAGACACGGCCCAAACUCCUACGGGAGGCAGCAGUAGGGAAUCUUCGGCAAUGGACGAAAGUCUGACCGAGCAACGCCGCGUGAGUGAAGAAGGUUUUCGGAUCGUAAAACUCUGUUGGUAGAGAAGAACGUUGGUGAGAGUGGAAAGCUCAUCAAGUGACGGUAACUACCCAGAAAGGGACGGCUAACUACGUG